rnacentral:pre_miRNA from 1 species
UGUUCCUCCCCGUCAACAAUAUCCUGGUGCUGAGUGAGUGGCACUCAGAGACUCCAGCAUCAGUGAUUUUGUUGAAGAGGGGGUGCU